AUUCUAAUAGUUUAAUAGGUAAAACAUGAAUCUUCUAAAUUCAUUACCUAGGUUCAACUCCUAGUUAGAAUA
rnacentral:tRNA from 1 species